GCCUCGCCGGAGCCAGGCUUUGGCUCCACGCGGCCAUUCGAGGGGCGGAGCCACCGGGAGCUUGGAGGCUGGAUUCUGGAGGCGUUCAUAACUUCUUAUUUUAGGCCGGGAUGUUGGACACGUGCCGGAGAGCCCAGCUCUCUGGAGGCUACGGAGGAGAAUGAUGAGUGUCGAGUUCGAAGCAAACCUGAAUUGAAGAACUAAAGAUUGAGACAGACCCUGCUCGGGAGCGCCCUCUCGUGGCAAACGUCCAGCCAGCUUGCUGCCCGCCCGGGAGGACCCAGGGUCAGGGCUGAUAUGGGAGUAUAGCUUCAACCUCUGGAAAACGCAAGAGCAUUCUGCAGCUUUUCAGGAAAGAAUAUCCGGGAUUGACAGGAAGAGAGAAUAAAUAGGAGAAGUCUGAGAAGAAAAAGAAAGAAGAAACAAGAAGAAAGUGUGAGGACAGCAGAGGCCAACCACCCAUCUACACAGUCAACCACAGAGUUACAUGGAAAGAAAGGCUACAAAUGUGAAGACCAUAAUGUUAAAGAACAUUGACAAAAACAAGAAAGGAGAAGAAAAAUUAUGUAUAUCACCAAAAUUGAUAAAGAUACACUUGGAAAAGGAUAAACCUCUUGAAAAGGAGAAAUGACAGCUCGUUCACAACAGUGACAAUCAUACUGGUGAUGAGAAAAACUCAUAAGGGUUAGGGCAGGGUUCUGCUCUUAUCUUUGCAGGAAAAUAAACAUCAUCAAAAAUUCAA